GUGCUGGCUCAUACCUGCAAUCCCAGCACUUUGGGAGGCUGAGGCAGGCAGAUCACUUGAGGUCAGGAGUUCAAGACCAGCCUGGCCAACAUGGUGAAACCUUGUCUGUACUAAAAAUACACACACACACACACGAAAUAGCCAGGCAUGGUGGUGGGCAACUUUAAUCCCAGCUACUUGUGAGGCUGAGGCAGGAGAAUCAUUUGAACCCGGGAGACAGAGGUUGCAAUGAGCCGAGAUCGUGCCAUUGCACUCCAGCCUGGGCAACAGAGGUAGACUCUGUCUCAAAAAAAAAAAAAAAAAGAAAGAAAGAAAGAAAUUGGGGAAGGAGCAGGAUUAGAGGCAGGAAGACCAUUUAGAAUAGGCAGCAAUCUAUUCUAGAGGCAGCAGUCACAAUGAGGAAUGAAGAGGGCCUGAGCUAGAGAAGUGGACAGGCUGGCAAGAGGUUAAUAGGGUCUGGGGUUAGGGAGAGAGGAAAUGCAAGGCAGGCACUCAGAUCUGGCACCUAGGACAGGAAAUGGAGGAGGGAGAGGAGCAGGCUGGGAACAGGACAAGAGAAAAGAAUGAGUCUCAGCAUCUAGGCUUUGACUGAAGUUACAGGUUUCAUCUUUUUUUUUUUUUUUUUGACAGGGUCUCACCAUGUCGUCCAGGCUGCAGUGCAGUGGCAUCUGGCUCACAAGCAGCCUUUACCUCCAGGGUUAGAGACCGGGGUCUCACUGUGUCAUACAGGCUUGUCUGGAACUCCUGGGAUCAAGCGAACCUCCCACCUCUGCCUCCCAAAGUGUUGCGAUUAAAGGCGUGAGCCACCGUACCCAGACUCAUCCACUUUGUUAUUCAACAGAUAGUGAAUCCUCCUCUGUGCAAGUCCUGGAAUUAUGGUUUCAGGAUUCAUUGGCACAACAGUUGGCAACUGAAAUUAUGGGUAUAGACAGGUCAUCUAGGAAAAAAGUGUGUAAAAUGAGAAGAAAAGAAGGCCCAGAACAGAUCGCUAAGGUACGAUUUGUUGUUGUUGUUUGAGACAGUCUUUUUUUUUUUUUUUUUUUUUUUUUUUGAGACAGAGUCUCUCCGUCGCCCAGGCUGGAGUGCAGUGGCGCGAUCUCCACUCACUGCAGGCUCCGCCCCCUGGAGUUCACGCCAUUUCCUGCCUCAGCCUCCCGAGUAGCUGGGACUACAGGCGCCCGCCACCUCACCCGGCUAAUUUUUUGUAUUUUUAGUAGAGACGGGGUUUCACCGUGUUAGCCAGGAUGGUCUCGAUCUCCUGACCUCGUGAUCCGCCCACCUCGGCCUCCCAAAGUGCUGGGAUUACAGGCAUGAGCCACCGUGCCCGGCUGAGACAGUCUUGCUUUGUCAGCCAGGCUGGAGUGCAGUGGUGCAAUCUCGGCUCACUGCAACCUCUGCCUCCCAGUUUCAAGCAGUUGUCCUGCCUCAGCCUCCCGAGUAGCUGGGACUACAGGCAUGUGCCACCACGCCUGGUUAAUUUUUGUAUUUUCAGUAGAAACGAUAUUUCACCAUGUUGGUCAGGCUGGUCUCAAACCCCUGACUUCAGGUGAUCUGCCCCCUUUGGCCUCCCAAAGUGCUGGGAUUACAAGUGUGAGCCACCGUACCCAGCCUGUUGUUUGUUUUUUAAGGGAGGACAGAAGAAGAGGAACCAGCCAGGCAACAAGACACGAAGGAGCCAGAGCAGUUGGAAGAAACCAGGAGAGUGAUGUCCCUAAAGCCAGUUUUUUGUUUGUUUUUGAGACAGAGUUUUGCUUUUGUUGCCCAGGCUGGAGUGCAAUGGCGUGAUCUCGGCUCACUGCAACCUCCGCCUCCUGGGUUCAAGCAAUUCUCCUGCCUCAGCCUCCCAAGUAGCUGGGAUUAUAGGCACCUGCCAUCACGCCCAGCUAAUUUUGUUUGUCUGUUUGUUUGUUUUUGAGACAGAGUCUCACUCUGUCAUCCAGGCUGGAGUGCAGAGACGCAAUCUCAGCUCACUGCAAGCUCCGCCUCCCGGGUUCACGCCAUUCUCCUGCCUCAGCCUCCCGAGUAGCUGGGACUACAGGUGCCCACCACCAAGCCCAGCUAAUUUUUGUAUUUUUAGUAGAGACGGGGUUUCACCGUGUUAGCCAGGAUGGUCUCGAUCUUCUGAUCUCGUAAUCUGCCCACCUCGGCCUCCCAAAGUGCUGGGAUUACAGGCGUGAGCCACUGCGCCCGGCCUGUUUGUUUUUUGAGAUGGAGUUUUGCUCUUGUUGCCCAGGCUGGAGUGCAAUGGUGCUAUCUCAGCUCACUGCAAUCUCUGCCUCCCGGGUUCAAGAGAUUCUCCUGCCUCAGCCUCCUGAGUAGCUGGGAUUACAGGUGCCCACCACCAUGCCUGGCUAAUUUUUGUAUUUUUAGUAGAGACGGGGUUUCACAAUGUUGGUCAGGCUGGUCCUGAACUCCUAACCUCAGGUGAUCCGCCCACCUUGGCAUCCCACAGUGCUGGGAUUACAGGCAUGAGCCACCGUGCCCAGCCCCUAAAGCCAGUUCAGAUGACCCUGAAGACAGGGUCCUCAGAAGCCUAGGGUGUCACAUGCAUCCAUGCUUCCAAGUCCACCAGUAAGAUAAGGUCUGAGGUGCAUCAUUGCUAAUCUGUCAUAGAGCAAUUCAAGGGUUCGGGUUGGGGUUGAGGCCAGACUAAGGAGAGCUGGGCAGUGGGAGGGAUAAGUGGAGAUAAUAAGUGUCCUUCAAGAGGAUUGGUUGUGAAGAGGAGAGAGAAGGUGAGAGGUGAAGAAAGGACAAGGGGUGUAAGGAGCUUCCCCAGCAAGCUGCAAGACCUGACCAUGAUUCAAUGCUCAUGCAAAAUGCCAGCUGAAAAGGGGAGGUUGAAUACACAGGAAGGGAGAUAGACCAUUAGGCAGGUUUUCUCCAAAAGCCUCAUGAUGCAUAACUAAGAUUGGGGUUUGAGAAUUGGAGGAUAGAGAAUUUAAGUUUGAUAUAAAGAAAAAAUAAGGAACAAAAGAACAGACCUGUGAAUCAGUGGAAAGGUCUUUGCAGACAAAGAUGGGACUGUUGGUACUUGUGAAUACUGCAGAAAGAGAUCCUAGCUCCAUAUACAGGUUGGACAAAAUGAGGGCUGAAGUGCCUUUCAAAGAUUUAAAUUCUUGAUCCCAUCCCACAUUUUAUUUUAUGGCGAGGGGGUGCACAAUUUACAAAUGAACUACAUAUUUCUGAUUGAGAAUGGCUAAUAAAAUUCUCAUUAUUUCAUUCAAGGUCCCUAAAUACCCACUGUGUUCCAAGCACUGGGUUGGGACACAGCAGAUCUGAGUUCCAUACACUAAGCCUUUUCCACUUAAUGUCAGUUAUUUAAAUGGAUCAGGUCAAGUGCGAUAGUGCGCACCUGUAAUCUUAGCUACUCAAGAGGCUGAGGUGGGAGGAUGGCUUGAGGCCAGGAAUUGGAGGCUGCAGUGUGCUAUAAUCACACCUGUGAAUAGCCACUGCACUCCAGCCUAGGCAAUGUGGCAAGAUCCCAUCUCUAAAAAUAAAAAUAAACAAUUUUAAAAGGGCUGGGCAUAGUGGCUCACAUCUGUAAUUCCAGCACUUUGAGAGGCCAAGGCCGGAGGAUUUUUUGAGGCCAGGAGUUUGAGAACAGCCUGGGCCACAAAGUAAGAUCCCCAUCUCUACAAAAAAAAUUUAAAAAUUAGCUGGGCAUGGUAGCAUGUACCUGUAGUCCAGUUUCUUGGGUGGCUGAGGCAGAAGGAUCCCUUGAACCCAGGAGAUCAAGGUUACAGUGAACUGUGAUCACACCUCUGUACUCCAGCCUGGAGUACACUGGGCAACAGAGUGAGACCCUGUCUCUUAAAAAAAAUAAAAAAUAAAAAAUGGGAUCAAUUUCUGUAUAAGUCAUUGUUUGCACUCACCUUGUUGGUAAACUGGGAGCAGCUGCGGCUGGAGGACAGUUGAGGCAUGUUAUCUUGGGAUUGCUGAAUGCUGCAGUUCACAGUGGGGAGGAUCUCCACUUCAUUCCUUCUUUACCAUCUCAAGAGCUCCUGAGAAAGCUGGAGGUUUGGCCGGGUAUGGUGGCUCAUGCCUGUAACCCCAGCAUUUUUGGAGGCUGAGGCGGGCAGAUCACUUGAGGCCAGGAGUUCAGGACCAGCCUGGCCAACAUGGUGAAACCCUGUCUCUACUAAAAAUACAAAAAUUAUCUAGGCAUGGUGGUGCGCACCUGUAGUCCCAGCUAUGUGGGAGGUUGAGGCAUGAGAAUCUCUUGAACCAGGAGGUGGAGGCUGCAGUGAGCCAAGAUUGUGCCACUGCACUCCAGCCUGAUCGAGAGAGUGAGACUCCAUCUCCAAACAAAAAAAAAAAAAAAAAAAAAAAAAAAAGGAAAAAGAAGAAAGGUGGAGGUUUUUGGAGCAUUCUCAGAGUGCAGUAUUUGUUUCUAAGUCUCAGCAGGGGAUGUAGAGAUGGGGCAGAGGCAGGUGGUUCUUCCAUUCCACCCCAAACCUCACUGGACUCAGACUCUCAGGGAUACACUAUAAUGACUGCUAACUUUGGUAGCACCUGCACCUAGUGUAGCUUCCUAAUGCUUCCGUGAAUCCCAGGGAGAACACUGUAAAAUGAUCAUAUGAUCUUUUAUUUCUCACUUAAUUCAUUCUGUGUCAUUCCAUUGGUUUGUGAAUUGUGUCAAUAGAUAGAAAGUUUGGACUGUGGGUGUCUGGAAAUAUAUCCACCCCUUCUACAUUAAUUCUUAUGAAAAAAUAUUUUAUUCACCUUUUUUACUGUAAGAUGAAUUUCCCAGUAAUGUAACCUUGAUGCAAAUAAAUGCUCUAACCGUUGUGCCAAAAGUUGCAAUUAAUAAACCCAAUGUCUUGUUCUUCUUC
rnacentral:lncRNA from 1 species